GGGGAAUAUUGCGCAAUGGGGGAACCCUGACGCAGCAACGCCGCGUGAAGGAGGAAGUAUUUCGGUAUGUAAACUUCUAUCAGCAGGGAAGAAGGAAGUGACGGUACCUGCAUAAGAAGCCCCGGCUAAUUAC
rnacentral:rRNA from 1 species